GGAAUGUGAAGGCUCUGGGCAAAAUCUGGAUGAUUUUUCUCUUUGGUUUGUGGGCUUCUGGAGACCAUGACUAAUGAUGGAUUUGUGAAGCUUCCAUGUAGAUCCCAUGUCUCAUGCCUGGUUGCUCUGAUCAGAAGGACGCACUCUGCUCUGCUUGGAAGCAGUACUUUCAGAGGACACCAGGAGUUAUGUGGGCCCUGUUUUCCUUCCUGUGGAGGAAGAAGCAUUCACGUUCACAUGCUAUUCGUUGUUUCGAGAUUGUUUAAGAAGCCACCGCUGUUGAACUAGCAGGGGAUCUUUCCUUCAGUGAACUUUGCCAGAGCAGCUGAUUGGUGUGCCCCAGCUGCAUGCCAUCAUUUUCUUGGGAAAGUUUUAAGACUGUCAGAAAAAUGAACAUCUUCUUUCCUAGCCCUUAUUGACGUGUAUGGGCUUUGCUGGCCUUUCCAACUCCAGUGUGGGAGGGGUUGUUUGUUUUCCUUUUAAAUGUUAUCCUGCCAUCCUCCUCUUUUAACAAUGCUGUAUAUACAUGAAGACUUGCUGUGUAUUCAGUGUGGCACAUGGAUGGAGAGGAUGCUUUGAACUGCUUUUGCAACAAUGGAUUCUGCUUGACUGAUAAUGAAACCAUGGGUUAGACCUCAGGGAGUGGUAAAGAGAUGAGGGAUCCUGAGGUCACUGUGCCAUGUGGGACAACUGAAUGUGCCAAAGAUUGUGAACAUGAGUCUUCUC